rnacentral:rRNA from 1 species
UACGUAGGGUGCAAGCGUUAAUCGGAAUUAUUGGGCGUAAAGGGCGCGUAGGCGGCGCGGUAUGUCACCUGUGAAAUCUCCUGGCUCAACUGGGAGCUUGCAGGCGAAACUGCCGUGCUGGAGUGUGGGAGAGGUGCGUGGAAUUCCUGGUGUAACGGUGAAAUGCGUAGAUAUCAGGAGGAACACCUGUGGCGAAAGCGGCGCACUGGACCACAACUGACGCUGAGGCGCGAAAGCUAGGGGAGCAAACAGG